UACGUAGGGUGCAAGCGUUGUCCGGAAUUAUUGGGCGUAAAGAGCUCGUAGGCGGUCUGUCGCGUCGGCUGUGAAAACUCGGGGCUCAACUCCGAGCUUGCAGUCGAUACGGGCAGGCUAGAGUUCGGCAGGGGAGACUGGAAUUCCUGGUGUAGCGGUGAAAUGCGCGAUAUCAGGAGGAACACCGGUGGCGGAAGGCGGUUCUCUGGGCCUGUACUGCGUGAGGAGCGAAAGCGUGGGGAGCGAACAGG
rnacentral:rRNA from 1 species